GGGAGCCUGAGAAACGGCUACCACAUCCAAGGAUGGCAGCAGGCGCGCAAAUUACCCAAUCCCGACACGGGGAGGUAGUGACAAUAAAUAACAAUACGGGGUUCUUUAGGAUCUCGUAAUUGGAAUGAGUACAAUUUAAAUCUCUUAACGAGGAACAAUUGGAGGGCAAGUCUGGUGCCAGCAGCCGCGGUAAUUCCAGCUCCAAUAGCGUAUAUUAAAGUUGUUGCAGUUAAAAAGCUCGUAGUUGAAUUUCGGGGUUAGUAGGUUGGUCAUGCCUCUGGUAUGUACUGGUCUCACUGAUUCCUCCUUCCUUAUGAACCGUAAUGCCAUUAAUUUGGUGUUGCGGGGAAUUUGGACUGUUACUUUGAAAAAAUUAGAGUGUUUAAAGCAAGCUAACGCUUGAAUACAUUAGCAUGGAAUAAUGAAAUAGGACGUUCGAUCUUAUUUUGUUGGUUUCUAGGAUUGACGUAAUGAUUAAUAGGGAUAGUUGGGGGCAUUAGUAUUCAAUUGUCAGAGGUGAAAUUCUUGGAUUUAUUGAAGACUAACUACUGCGAAAGCAUUUGCCAAGGAUGUUUUCAUUAAUCAAGAACGAAAGUUAGGGGAUCGAAGACGAUCAGAUACCGUCGUAGUCUUAACCAUAAACUAUGCCGACUAGGGAUCGGAUGAUGUUAAUUUUUUAAUGACUCAUUCGGCGCCUUACGGGAAACC
rnacentral:rRNA from 1 species